AUAAAUAAUAUAUUAUAAUAUAGUGUAACAUAUUUUUUUACUUUUUGUGAAUCAUUUGAUUAAUUGAUUAUGUCAAAACAACUCAGUGGUUUCGCCAAAAGAAAAUUGAAAUUGAAGAAAGAGGAAGAAAUAAAAAAAUUGAAAGGAUCCUUAGAUAUGUUUAUUUUUAAAAAGAAUCAAGAAAAUAAUAUUUAGAUCAAAUCAGUGAACUCUAUAGAUGUGGUUGAAAUUAAUGUUGAAAAUGUAACAAAUAAUGAUAGUGUUGAUGGUAAUGAUGACGUUGAUGUAGAAAAAAUGUAUAGUAUUAAUCCUGUGAUAGCUGCUUCUUCUUCAAUUGAACAUAUUGAUGAUGAGUUGGAUUUAAAUUUAAACAAUGAAUAUCCAACGGACCGUGGACACUUUAGAGUGGAUAGAGUCUCUGAUAAGAUCAAACGGAGUAUUCUAUUGUAUGGACCAUGCAAGCCAAAUGUUCAGUUUCCUGAAAAUAAUAAACACAGAAAAUUUUCUUCGGAAUAUUAUUAUACAAUGUCUAAGUCUGGUAAUAAAAUCCCUCGUAAUUGGCUUUGUUAUUCAAUUAAAUAAAAUAUUUUGUGAGACAUGUUGGCUUUUUGCUGAUCGAUUAUACAGACAUUUUAAUGUAACAUGGAUUUCUGGAAUUGAUGAUUGGCAACACGCUUCACAAAAAAUUUAUGCACAUGAAAUUUCUGUACAACAUAAUAUUGAAGCUAUUAAAAUUAGAUAUAUUUGGGCAAAAAAUCAUGUAAUUGACAUGGAAUUAGAAAAUCAAAUUUCAAAUGAAGCAGUAUUUUGGAGAAUAAUCAAAAUUAUACUACACUUAACUGCUGGAAAUAAUGCACUUCGUGGUAACGAAAAAAAAUUUUGC